rnacentral:rRNA from 1 species
GAAACAGGUGCUAAUACCGCAUAACCAUAGUUACCGCAUGGUAACUAUGUAAAAGGUGGCUAUGCUACCGCUUUUGGAUGGGCCCGCGGCGCAUUAGCUAGUUGGUGGGGUAAAGGCUUACCAAGGCAAUGAUGCGUAGCCGAACUGAGAGGUUGAUCGGCCACAUUGGGACUGAGACACGGCCCAAACUCCUACGGGAGGCAGCAGUAGGGAAUCUUCCACAAUGGGCGAAAGCCUGAUGGAGCAACGCCGCGUGGGUGAAGAAGGUCUUCGGAUCGUAAAACCCUGUUGUUAGAGAAGAAAGUGCGUGAGAGUAACUGUUCACGUUUCGACGGUAUCUAACCAGAAAGCCACGGCUAACUACGUGCCAGCAGCCGCGGUAAUACGUAGGUGGCAAGCGUUAUCCGGAUUUAUUGGGCGUAAAGGGAACGCAGGCGGUCUUUUAGGUCUGAUGUGAAAGCCUUCGGCUUAACCGGAGUAGUGCAUUGGAAACUGGGAGACUUGAGUGCAGAAGAGGAGAGUGGAACUCCAUGUGUAGCGGUGAAAUGCGUAGAUAUAUGGAAGAACACCAGUGGCGAAAGCGGCUCUCUGGUCUGUAACUGACGCUGAGGUUCGAAAGCGUGGGUAGCAAACAGGAUUAGAUACCCUGGUAGUCC